rnacentral:rRNA from 1 species
GAUGAACGCUGGCGGCGUGCCUAAUACAUGCAAGUCGAGCGAACGGACGAGAAGCUUGCUUCUCUGAUGUUAGCGGCGGACGGGUGAGUAACACGUGGAUAACCUACCUAUAAGACUGGGAUAACUUCGGGAAACCGGAGCUAAUACCGGAUAAUAUUUUGAACCGCAUGGUUCAAAAGUUAAAGACGGUCUUGCUGUCACUUAUAGAUGGAUCCGCGCUGCAUUAGCUAGUUGGUAAGGUAACGGCUUACCAAGGCAACGAUGCAUAGCCGACCUGAGAGGGUGAUCGGCCACCCUGGAGCUGGACCGCGGUCCAGACUCCUGCGGGAGGCAGCAGUAGGGAAUCUUCCGCAAUGGGCGAAAGCCUGACGGAGCAACGCCGCGUGAGUGAUGAAGGUCUUCGGAUCGUAAAACUCUGUUAUUAGGGAAGAACAUAUGUGUAAGUAACUGUGCACAUCUUGACGGUACCUAAUCAGGAAGCCACGGCUAACUACGUG